rnacentral:piRNA from 1 species
UGAGAUAAGUCCUAAGAAUGUGGUUGACUGG